UUUUUACAUAAAUUAGUGAGAUUAUUAUUAUUAUUAUUAUUAUUAUUAUUUUGAGAGAUAAGUAGCACGCUAUCCACUUUAUUUAUUUUAUUUAGAAAUAAAUUUAGGUGGAAAUAAUAAUUUAUCAUAUCACCUUAUCCACUUUAUUUAUUUAUUUAUUUAUUUUUUUAACUAGAUGAGAUUUUUUGGAAGUAGCGAGAAAGAGUU
rnacentral:lncRNA from 1 species